rnacentral:rRNA from 1 species
GUAGGGAAUAUUGGGCAAUGGGCGAGAGCCUGACCCAGCCAUGCCGCGUGCAGGAAGAAGGCUUUCUGAGUCGUAAACUGCUUUUGACAGGGAAGAAUAAGCGCUACGUGUAGCGUGAUGACGGUACCUGCAGAAUAAGCACCGGCUAACUCCGUGCCAGCAGCCGCGGUAAUACGGAGGGUGCGAGCGUUGUCCGGAUUUAUUGGGUUUAAAGGGUGCGUAGGCGGCCUGAUAAGUCCGGGGUGAAAGCCCGUUGCUCAACAACGGAACUGCCCUGGAUACUGUGAGGCUUGAGUACAGACGAGGUUGGCGGAAUGGACCGAGUAGCGGUGAAAUGCAUAGAUACGGUCCAGAACCCCGAUUGCGAAGGCAGCUGACUAGGCUGUUACUGACGCUGAGGCACGACAGCGUGGGGAGCGAACAGG